rnacentral:rRNA from 1 species
AGUCGAGCGGAGUUUUGUUGAAAGCUUGCUUUCACAGGAUUUAGCGGCGGACGGGUGAGUAACACGUAGGCAACCUGCCCCUUAGUCUGGGAUAACUACCGGAAACGGUAGCUAAUACCGGAUAAUUCCUUUCCCCUCCUGGGGAGAGGAUGAAAGACGGAGCAAUCUGUCGCUGAGGGAUGGGCCUGCGGCGCAUUAGCUAGUUGGUGAGGUAACGGCUCACCAAGGCGACGAUGCGUAGCCGACCUGAGAGGGUGAACGGCCACACUGGGACUGAGACACGGCCCAGACUCCUACGGGAGGCAGCAGUAGGGAAUCUUCCGCAAUGGGCGCAAGCCUGACGGAGCAAUGCCGCGUGAGUGAUGAAGGUUUUCGGAUCGUAAAGCUCUGUUGCCAGGGAAGAACGUCUUAUAGAGUAACUGCUAUAAGAGUGACGGUACCUGAGAAGAAAGCCCCGGCUAACUACGUGCCAGCAGCCGCGGUAAUACGUAGGGGGCAAGCGUUGUCCGGAAUUAUUGGGCGUAAAGCGCGCGCAGGCGGCUAUUUAAGUCUGGUGUUUAAACCUUGGGCUCAACCUGAGGUCGCACUGGAAACUGGGUGGCUUGAGUACAGAAGAGGAAAGUGGAAUUCCACGUGUAGCGGUGAAAUGCGUAGAUAUGUGGAGGAACACCAGUGGCGAAGGCGACUUUCUGGGCUGUAACUGACGCUGAGGCGCGAAAGCGUGGGGAGCAAACAGGAUUAGAUACCCUGGUAGUCCACGCCGUAAACGAUGAGUGCUAGGUGUUAGGGGU